rnacentral:rRNA from 1 species
CCCUUAGAUGUUCUGGGCUGCACGCGUGCUACACUGAUAUUGCCAAUAUGUCAUUCUUAUCCGAAAUGGAUUGGGUAAUCAAGUAAUGAAAUUUCAUGCUUGGAAUCGGUAAUUGCAAUUUUAUCGUGAACGAGGAAUUCCUAGUAAGCACUAGUCAUCAGCUAAUGUUGAUUAUGUCCCUGCCCUUUGUACACACCGCCCGUCGCUCCUACCGAUUGAAUGUGUUGGUGAGGAGCUCGGAUUGGCAGCAGUUGGUGGUUCGCCACCGGCUAUUGCUGAGAAGUCCUCCAAACCGCCCCAUUUAGAGGAAGGAGAAGUCGUAACA